UGUAGAUAAGAGUGAAAACGUGUCAAGCGUGGCAGAGUGUGAUUAACAGACUUAGCAACUAUUUAAGGACCAGCUCAGAACUGGGAAUUUUAGAGUGAACCACGACUCUAUGUCCUGGAGCUCUCCUCCGCUAACCUGACAACCAGUCCAUCAAGCUGGGUGCCGCCUGUUCUGAGCCUGAUUUCCAUGACACCAGGCCCUCAGGAGACUGAAUACAGAGGAAGGCCCCAGCUGGAACUUGUGGGCCGCUGCAGGAGAGGAUUCUUGUUUAAGUUCCAGGGAGCUGAAUUGGAUCCAAACAAACAGGUCUAAGAGGCGCCAGAGAGUUCCACACAGCCUGGACUUCGAUGAAACAACCAGCUACCCCAGGAUGUGGCAGCACCCCAACCUUCUCGGGUCCCCCAAAGAGAUGGUCAAUACCCAUGUCAGCAGGAAGCUGUUUUGAGAAUUCGACGCCCCUUAUUCCUUAACCUGCCAUGUCCAACACCCCACCUUUUUUAAAAUAAGGUGGGAUUGAAAGGCUCAGGCAUUAUGCUGGCCUGCCCCUGUUACCUGGUGUAACAGGCAGUACCCUGGUCAGCCCAGGGUUCCAUGGGAACAAAGUCUGCACGCAGGUGCAGAGGACCCCUUUAAAAGACAGAGCCAUGCCCAUUUACGCUGUCUCUACACUUCUCUCUGCUCUCUACUCUCUACACUUUUCGCUCUGCUCUUGUCUGCUUCUGCUUUUCUCUCUUCUCUGUGGUCAGCCAUUAACCGUGUUCCUCUUCUCCUUUAGUCUCCCUACUCUACCGGGCCUAUAAUAAUGGUUACUAUGUCUAAUAUGUCUCAUCCUGUGUCUCAUCCUGUGCCUUCCUCCUUUUCUUUAUAAUUUAAACAAAAGUCUAACAAUGGGGCCCAGUCAAAGAAGAAAGUAGUGUCCUGUACUAUAAACAGAGAAGCCAUUUGGUUUCCUUCCACCUUCCUGAGCCUUUUUUUUCUUUUAAAAUUUUAUUUAUUAUGCAUACAGUGAUCUGCCUACAUGUUUGCCUACAGGCUAGAAGAGGGCAUCAGAUCUCAUUACGGAUGGCUGUGAGCCACCAUGUGGUUGCUGGGAAUUGAACUCGGGACCUCUGGAAGAGCAGCCAGUUCUCUCAACCUCUGAGCCAUCUCUCCAGCCCCUUUCCUGAGCCUUUAAAUACAUAUUUGUGGGUCCUGGUGAAAUCAUCCACGUGUAUGCUGUUGUGUUUUGUGAGACAUGUUCUUACAGUCCGGGCUGACUUCAAACUCGCAAUCCUGCUCAUUCUUCUACUGCUGGAGUAAACCAUCAUGCCUGACUUCAGGCUUAUUUCAUUCGUUCCUGUGUGCCUGCACCUCUGGAUGACAGAGGAAAACCUUGUGUGUCAUCCCUCAGUAGCCAUGCAAUGUGCACACGUGGGAUAUGCUUGCCCACAAGUGAACACAAGGAAGCCUGCAUACACUCUCUAUUGUAGUCUCUUGGGCC
rnacentral:lncRNA from 1 species